GUUCCAGCAGGAGAGGGUGGCUUGCAAGCUGAGCUGGGGAACCUUCUCCCGGUGGCCCCUCCAGGCAGCAUUUAGGGGAAAAUGGACAUGCUGGCUUUAUGUCUUGCUGCCUGGGUGAUCCCAGGCAAAUGACCCGAGUUCUGUUCCCUCCUAAUUUUUAAUGCAUUUACUUCCUAAGGCAGCGGUGAAGAGGUACGGGGGAUGGGUGUUCAGCGCGGAAGCUGGCCCAUGGCAGGCACCCAAUCAGCUAGUCACCCAUUCGGUUACCGACAUGCUCCUGCUGCGGACGCAGCUUUGGAAAACCACAGUAUCAUCCCUCCUCGGAGUCUAAGCGCACGCAAAGCACACAGUAGGCCUUCAGCGAACACACGACUGACUAAACGCGCCGUGGAGAACAAGCUGCUUUGGCACCUGGUAUCUGGAGGCUUUCUCUGCUGGUAAAAUAAAGAGAUGGAUACUAAGAAGACAGAACGACUUAGGAGAUCCCAGAAAAAAAAUGUAGAGUCAUCUAAACUUCACUAGCUCAAUAAUGGAAGUGUACAGAAUGAGACUCAAAAGGAAAGGAAGAUAAGAGAAAGGAAGGAGGGAGAAGGAAGGGGGCCCAGAUGAGCAGCGAAAUAAAAAUUCAAAUAUGAUUUUAUUGUUUCUUCCAGUAAGUGGCUGGGAAUAAUAGAACAGAGCAAAACUGGAAGAGGGGAGUAAAAGUAACUCAGCAAAAUAAGAGUUGUUGGUUUUGUUCUGCUUUGUUUUUUUGUUUUUAAUGGCAGUGUCUUAGAUGAGGUCAGGGAAGGAGCUGAUGGACGUAUAGACAUGAGGUGUCUUGCACACGGAGACGCGGGGCCAGAUGCAUUGCGACGCCAGCCUCCGCUUCAGCAACUUUGAGAGAUUUCGUAUAAUUUUGAGAGGUUUUGUAUAAUUUUGUCCAGAGGUCUGGACAAACAACCAAACAAGAACAAACAACCAAAUAAGAAUCAGGGAACAGCAUCGCCCCCUCCCCACCAGGGGAGGAAAAAUCUGGAUGUGCAGCGUCCUCACUCACGCGUCCGGACAAAAUGACUUCAACGUCAGACUCCAUCGUCACACUUCCAAAAGCGAAAAAGUGAGGAAGGCUGCAUCCUAAAACCUCUUACAACCUGUCUUCAAGCCCAGAAUUGUUUACGGCAAGUGUCUC
rnacentral:lncRNA from 1 species